UACGUAGGGAGCGAGCGUUAUCCGGAAUUAUUGGGUGUAAAGGGUGCGUAGACGGGAAAGCAAGUUAGUUGUGAAAUCCCUCGGCUUAACUGAGGAACUGCAACUAAAACUACUUUUCUUGAGUGCAGGAGAGGUAAGUGGAAUUCCUAGUGUAGCGGUGAAAUGCGUAGAUAUUAGGAGGAACACCAGUGGCGAAGGCGACUUACUGGACUGUAACUGACGUUGAGGCUCGAAAGCGUGGGGAGCAAACAGG
rnacentral:rRNA from 1 species